AUAUUUUGUACAGCACAACAUUCGGUAUUUCAAUGCUGCCAAAACGUCGGUCACACUAACAGUCUCGUUCGAAAACUCGACAAGCGAAGUUGCGAGUCGUUCUGGUCGCGCCGUCGCAUGUAAAUUGCAUUUAAACAAUUGCAGUGGAAUUUCGCGUACAAAACCCUAAUUAAAAGUGCUUGCCUUGCAAAUAAAAGAGAAAGAAAGAAAAAAAUUAACACAGCAACUUUUUCGCCUUUAGUUCAAUACGAAAACAACAA